GACGAACGCUGGCGGCGUGCCUAAUACAUGCAAGUCGAGCGGGGUUGUCGGAGUGGAGUCCUUCGGGAUGAAGCACCGUCAACCUAGCGGCGGACGGGUGAGUAACGCGUGGGUAACCUGCCCUAAAGCCCGGGAUAACACCGGGAAACUGGUGCUAACACCGGAUACCUUCCGAAGAGGGCAUCCUUUUUGGAAGAAAGGUUAACGCUUUAGGAUGGGCCCGCGUCCCAUUAGCUAGUUGGUGAGGUAACGGCUCACCAAGGCAGCGAUGGGUAGCCGGCCUGAGAGGGUGGACGGCCACACUGGGGACUGAGACACGGCCCAGACUCCUACGGGAGGCAGCAGUAGGGAAUAUUGCACAAUGGGGGAAACCCUGAUGCAGCGACGCCGCGUGAAGGAAGAAGGCCUUCGGGUUGUAAACUUCUUUGACCAGGGACGGAAAAAUAGACGGUACCUGGAGAACAAGCCACGGCUAACUACGUGCCAGCAGCCGCGUAAGGCUACGUAGA
rnacentral:rRNA from 1 species